AAUGAACGCUGGCGGCAGGCCUAACACAUGCAAGUCGAACGGAUCCUUCGGGAUUAGUGGCGGACGGGUGAGUAACGCGUGGGAACAUACUCUUUGGUACGGAAUAGCCUCGGGAAACUGGGAGUAAUACCGUAUGUGGUCGAGAGACGAAAGAUUUAUCGCCAAAGGAUUGGCCCGCGUUGGAUUAGGUAGUUGGUGGGGUAAUGGCCUACCAAGCCGACGAUCCAUAGCUGGUUUGAGAGGAUGAUCAGCCACACUGGGACUGAGACACGGCCCAGACUCCUACGGGAGACAGCAGUGGGGAAUCUUAGACAAUGGGGGAAACCCUGAUCUAGCCAUGCCGCGUGAUCGAUGAAGGCCUUAGGGUUGUAAAGAUCUUUCAGGUGGGAAGAUAAUGACUGUACCACCAGAAGAAGCCCCGGCUAACUCCGUGCCAGCAGCCGCGGUAA
rnacentral:rRNA from 1 species